GGGGGUGUACUGGUUUCGACGGGGAUAGGUGCGGUAUGAUAAGCGAGUCGUGGUCUGGCACACGCUAACUGUCGGGACGUUUAAAUAUAAACGCUGAUAAAGAAUACGCUUUAGCAGCCUAAUCUGCUAACUGUCUUCUGAGUUCUUCCUGCAGACGAGGAAAGACAGUCAAUAUGCGGGAUACCUUAAAGCUGACGCUUGUAGGCUUUUAGGGAAACUUUUACAAGCUAGCAAUUCGAAAGCCCGUCGUUAGGCAUUUGAAAAGCGAAAUUUAGUAUGACGUCUGCACUCGGAGAAAGUUGUAUGGCAAUAUUUUCGGACAGGGGUUCGACUCCCCUCACCUCCACCA
rnacentral:tmRNA from 1 species